CUCCCUGGCUUGGAGUUAGGGGUUGCUGGUGCUGGGAAGGGGACAGCCUGGAUGGUGGUGGAGACUGAAGCAAGGUCAAGGAUCCCAAAGAUGUCAAGGAAGAAGUUGGACUGUGGUGGUGAGGUGGUCUCUGUUGUAACUGCAGCUGCACAUCUGGGUUCUGCCUGACUGACCCAUACUCAGGGGGAUGUUGAUACCUCAUCAUAGGCCCAUCG
rnacentral:lncRNA from 1 species